UGCCCUAGAGACUGGGAUAACACCUGGAAACAGAUGCUAAUACCGGAUAACAACACUAGACGCAUGUCUAGAGUUUAAAAGAUGGUUCUGCUAUCACUCUUGGAUGGACCUGCGGUGCAUUAGCUAGUUGGUAAGGCAACGGCUUGCCAAGGCAAUGAUGCAUAGCCGAGUUGAGAGACUGAUCGGCCACAUUGGGACUGAGACACGGCCCAAACUCCUACGGGAGGCAGCAGCC
rnacentral:rRNA from 1 species